GUUAUAGGGUCAAGCGAAUAAGUGCAUGUGGUGGAUGCCUUGGCGAUCACAGGCGAUGAAGGACGUAGUAGCUUGCGAAAAGCUGCGGGGAGCUGGCAAACGAGCUUUGAUCCGCAGAUGUCCGAAUGGGGAAACCCGGCCCGUAUGGGUCAUCCCUUGCUGAAUACAUAGGCAAGGGAGGCGAACGCAGUGAACUGAAACAUCUAAGUAGCUGCAGGAAAAGAAAUCAACCGAGAUUCCAAAGUAGUGGCGAGCGAAAUGGGAACAGCCUUGUACUCUUUAGCAGUAUUGUUAGCGGAACGAAUGGAAAGUCCGGCCAUAGUGGGUGAUAGCCCCGUACGCGAAAACAGUAUUGUGGAACUAGGUGUACGACAAGUAGGGCGGGACACGUGAAAUCCUGUCUGAAGAUGGGGGGACCAUCCUCCAAGGCUAAAUACUCGUGAUCGACCGAUAGUGAACCAGUACCGUGAGGGAAAGGCGAAAAGAACCCCGGGAGGGGAGUGAAAUAGAUCCUGAAACCGCAUGCAUACAAACAGUCGGAGCCUGGAAACGGGUGACGGCGUACCUUUUGUAUAAUGGGUCAGCGACUUACAUUCAGUGGCAAGCUUAACCGAUUAGGGAAGGCGUAGCGAAAGCGAGUCCGAAUAGGGCGUUCAGUCGCUGGGUGUAGACCCGAAACCAAGUGAUCUAUCCAUGGCCAGGUUGAAGGUGCGGUAACACGUACUGGAGGACCGAACCCACUAACGUUGAAAAGUUAGGGGAUGAGCUGUGGAUAGGGGUGAAAGGCUAAACAAACUUGGAAAUAGCUGGUUCUCUCCGAAAACUAUUUAGGUAGUGCCUCGUGUCUCACCUUCGGGGGUAGAGCACUGUCAUGGUUGGGGGGUCUAUUGCUGAUUACCCCGCCAUAGCAAACUCCGAAUACCGAAGAGUGCAAUCACGGGAGACAGACAUCGGGUGCUAACGUCCGGUGUCAAGAGGGAAACACCCAGACCGCCAGCUAAGGUCCCUAAGAUUGGCUAAGUGGGAAACGAAGUGGGAAGGCUAAAACAGUCAGGAGGUUGGCUUAGAAGCAGCCACCCUUUAAAGAAAGCGUAAUAGCUCACUGAUCGAGUCGUCCUGCGCGGAAGAUGUAACGGGGCUAAGCCAGUCACCGAAGCUGCGGAUGCACGUAAGUGCAUGGUAGGAGAGCGUUCUGUAAGCCUGUGAAGGUGUCUUGUAAAGGAUGCUGGAGGUAUCAGAAGUGCGAAUGCUGACAUGAGUAGCGAUAAAGGGGGUGAAAGGCCCCCUCGCCGUAAGCCCAAGGUUUCCUACGCAACGUUCAUCGGCGUAGGGUGAGUCGGCCCCUAAGGCGAGGCAGAGAUGCGUAGCUGAUGGGAAGCAGGUUAAUAUUCCUGCACCGUCGUAUGAUGCGAUGGGGGGACGGAUCGCGGAAGGUUGUCCGGGUGUUGGAAGUCCCGGUCCCUACAUUGGAGAUGGCACUUAGGCAAAUCCGGGUGCGUGAUUCAAGGGUGUGGGGCGAGCGACGUUAGGUCGCGAAGCAAUUGGAAGUGGUUCCAAGAAAAGCCUCUAAGCUUCAGUCAUACGAGACCGUACCGCAAACCGACACAGGUGGGCGAGAUGAGUAUUCUAAGGCGCUUGAGAGAACUCGGGAGAAGGAACUCGGCAAAUUGGUACCGUAACUUCGGGAUAAGGUACGCCCUUGUAGUUUGACUGGCUCGCGCCAGAAGGAUGAAGGGGUUGCAAUAAAAUGGUGGCUGCGACUGUUUAAUAAAAACACAGCACUCUGCAAACACGAAAGUGGACGUAUAGGGUGUGACGCCUGCCCGGUGCCGGAAGAUUAAAUGAUGGGGUGCAAGCUCUUGAUUGAAGUCCCGGUAAACGGCGGCCGUAACUAUAACGGUCCUAAGGUAGCGAAAUUCCUUGUCGGGUAAGUUCCGACCUGCACGAAUGGCGUAACGAUGGCCACACUGUCUCCUCCCGAGACUCAGCGAAGUUGAAGUGUUUGUGAUGAUGCAAUCUCCCCGCGGCUAGACGGAAAGACCCCAUGAACCUUUACUGUAGCUUUGCAUUGGACUUUGAACCGAUCUGUGUAGGAUAGGUGGGAGGCUUUGAAACCGGGACGCUAGUUUCGGUGGAGCCGACCUUGAAAUACCACCCUGGUUUGUUUGAGGUUCUAACCUUGGCCCGUGAAUCCGGGUCGGGGACAGUGCAUGGUAGGCAGUUUGACUGGGGCGGUCUCCUCCCAAAGUGUAACGGAGGAGUUCGAAGGUACGCUUGGUACGGUCGGACAUCGUACCUAAAGUGCAAUGGCAAAAGCGUGCUUAACUGCGAGACCGACAAGUCGAGCAGGUGCGAAAGCAGGACAUAGUGAUCCGGUGGUUCUGUAUGGAAGGGCCAUCGCUCAACGGAUAAAAGGUACUCUGGGGAUAACAGGCUGAUACCGCCCAAGAGUUCAUAUCGACGGCGGUGUUUGGCACCUCGAUGUCGGCUCAUCUCAUCCUGGGGCUGUAGCCGGUCCCAAGGGUAUGGCUGUUCGCCAUUUAAAGAGGUACGUGAGCUGGGUUUAAAACGUCGUGAGACAGUUUGGUCCCUAUCUGCCGUGGGCGUUGGAAUCUUGACGGGGGCUGCUCCUAGUACGAGAGGACCGGAGUGGACGUACCGCUGGUGUACCUGUUGUCUCGCCAGAGGCAUCGCAGGGUAGCUAUGUACGGAAGAGAUAACCGCUGAAAGCAUCUAAGCGGGAAACUCGCCUGAAGAUGAGGAUUCCCUGGAGACUUGAUCUCCCUGAAGGGUCGUUCGAGACCAGGACGUUGAUAGGCUGGGUGUGGAAGCGCAGUAAUGCGUUCAGCUAACCAGUACUAAUUGCCCGUGCGGCUUGAUCCUAUAACC
rnacentral:rRNA from 1 species